rnacentral:pre_miRNA from 1 species
AUAAAAAUUACCUAGGGAUCUUAUUAGAAGGAGAAUUCUGACACAGUAGGUCUGGCUUGGGACCUGAGAUUCUGCAUUUCUAACAAGCUCCCAAGUGAUGCCGAU